rnacentral:lncRNA from 1 species
UUGGACAAAGGACCAAGAAGAAAAUUAAGGGAACUUAACACUAUGUUUUUUGAGUUUUAAAAUGGACGAAAAAGAAAAGAAAUUGACAAAAAAACUUAGUUUUUUGUUCAUUUCCUUUUUGCUUAGUUUUUGAAUGAACGAAAAAAGUAAAGAAAUAUACGGAAAACUGAUAAAAACUUUAGUCUCUUUGACCAACUUUGAAAAGCUAGCUACUCAAUGAGAGAUGUU